GCCAAUUAAAGGGCUCAUUAAAGGGUAACUACCGUUUUUAUUAACCUGGACCCUAUUUUCCAACGGUUUUGUGUCUGAGUGACUGAUGGUAACAACAAUCUUUGAAAUUGGUCCAGUAUUAAACAAGGUCGC